GCGGUGUUGCUGUUUGGGGGUAUUGGUUGUAAGAAGCUGUGGCUCAGUCUGUUAUGAACUUGGCUGAGCUAAACCAUUCUUUGCACUCUCCUCUGGAAUCUUUUAUAGCGGUGGUUCUUAAAGGGCUGAGAAGGUCCUUGGCAAUUAAAGGCUCUCAUCUUGAAGAUGAUAGUGGAGUGGUUGUAGUCUCUGGACUCUGUGGCACCCCCUCCUAGUGUUGCUAUUCCUUAUGAGAAAAGCAGGCUGUUCGACCAGUGUGAUGGAGCUAUCCAAGUAGAGCUGAACCUGGAUGGGAUAAGCUGUCUUAUGGGAAAGGAUGUUGGGCCUGAUUCUCUGCUGUCUCACAACUUUUUGUGAGUGAAAAAGGGAUGUGAAAUACUAAGUCAAUGAUUCCUACUGGGGCAGAGGAACAGCAGUAUACAGUGCCCAGAGGAAAGCUUAGGUGGGAGCUAUAGUUCUUCUGUACAGAUGGGUCUUCAGACUGGUAUUUCUUCACCCUUUCCAAGCCAUGGUACCAGAAUUACAGAUCCUGGGCUGUUUUCUGGGCAUUAGUGAACUCCCAUAGAAGGAUUUUUCUGUCAGAAAACUCCUGUAGCCUGGUGAUGACAACCCACUCCUGCUCUUCUCCUACCUGACAAAGAAUUGAGAAGUUUUCAGAAGCUGUUUAAGUUUUGUGUCUACCAAGAACUCUAAGCACAAAAUGCCAGUGCACGUGGCUUUCCAUGAAGUGCUUGCCUUUCCUGCAGGAACAGCAGCUUGGCAGCAGGUGUUCUGGGUCUGCACAGUCAUCAGACAAAUGAAUAACCAGUGUAACCUUGGCUUUGAAGAUUUUUGUGUUUACCAAGAUGUCAUCUUUUUAUCUGCAAAAAGGGAGGAGGUUCCUGAGGGGGCUGUUUCCUUCCACUUUCUGCAGCUGGCACUGUCUGAUGUAGUGUGUGUUCGCAUAUCUCAUGCGCAUCCCCUUUCACCUGUCAGUUGGGAUCAUAUAUCCAUGCCCUGGUGAGUGAGCUGUGGGAUGGCAGUCACUGUGCUCUGGGACAGUCUUGCUUCCAGCUCAGGCAUCUUGGAAACACAGAUCUGCAGCACUUUGCUCUGCUGGGUCUUCUCUCUUUUUUUUUUUUUUUUUUAAGUCCUCAGAAGCACAAGAACUGUCUUCAGGCCCACACAGGAUCAGAUGGGUUUUUCUUGUGAGGUCAGCAGUGUGAAGAUAGAUGUGAAACUGUGCACUUUUCUUGUCUGCCUUGACAAAGACAGCUCCAUGAAAAAGUGUUGCACUCCCCGGAAGUAGGAGAUGGGAAAAAUGGGAAAAGAAAAGAGAUUUGUCCAAUCUUUUCCAGUAAAUCAUUGGAAGAAUUGGAUAAGUCUUCAUCCCUGAGCCCUUGCAUUUUCUGUUCAGUACUGUUAAGUGAAGUAGCUGGAAUGUGUGAAGAAAGAAGCUUGACCCCAUGUCAGAGCUGAUCCAGGCCAGAAGUAUCCCUGUUUUUUCUCUGACAGAGUUAAUGGUUCCUGAUCCCCUGGGCUGGCUGCUUGCCUAAGCAGCUCUGUGGUGCUACAGUGUGGGUCCCGUUCUUCCUGAGAGGCCUGGUGCUAAAUAAUUCUGUCUUGAAAGGAGAAAACAAAACUAGUAGGGAUGUUUCAGCAGAGAAGUGUGCUUCUCUGCUGUGCUUGCAUUUGAGUUCACAUUGGAAGUCCUAGUUGGAAUUUCUACACCUGUGUGUGAUCUGUCUGGAUCACUUCCCUUUCCUGACAAAGGAAAGGCAACAUUGCCCUGCUGCUUGUGAAGCACUCUCCUGGCAGCCCCAUGCCUGUUCAAUUUGCGCAAGUCCAAACUAGCUAUAGGAAGAGAGGUGUGUGCUAAGCUUGCUGCUCACUACCCUGCGCUGAGGGCAAGGUCUGGAUCUCCAGGAACUGUGGGGAACUACAACCUUCGGGUAUAUUUCUUCUGUGACACAGACCAAGGCUUACUGAAGAUUCCUAGUUUCAAGGUUUAGCAGGAGCUGCCAUUUCACACUGCCAGCCAGGAGUCUGCAUAUAUGCAAUAUAAUUAACACCAGAAAUUCUGACUCCUGAGGCUAUAGGGUUAAACAAAUGUGUCCCCAUUAAACUUGAAUAAUAAGAGGUUAACUCAUUAGGAAAAGAGCACUCUUGAUGUGCUUAAUGGAGGAAGAGAACGUUAACUCUUACAAUUCCUUGCCAACACUCACAUUAGUUUAACUUUCCUUUGAGUGUUUUCUUCUAUAGAAUACUUUACAAAAUCCCCCAAAUGAUCUCCUGUGUGUUUUGUAUGAAUCAUCUUUGAUUUCCUGAUUAUUGGUCUGCUUGUCUCCUUUGGAGUCUUUAAAAAUGUCUUGCUGUAUUGAUGGUUAUUUGUAGUUUUAAAAAUAACAUGCAAUGCAGAACUCCUGCAGAGCAAAGGUAAAUCCUGAAAACUGCUCAUUUGAAUGUCCAGUAGCAAAAACUUGCAUGCCUGUGUCUUUCCUGUUUUAUUCUCGCAUUCCUUGAAAAAAUAUAAUAUGAGGAAAGACUUGGAGGUCCUAAGUCAUAAGCAAAUGGUCUGCAAAUUAACAUUUUUCGUCAGUGAUUCUUUUAAUUAUAAAAGCGCACAAAAAAAAUUAAAGACCUAAUACUUGCCAUUCCAAAACCAGUUAAUUUCUAACAGGUGUACCUUGCUCAUAAACCUCUGCUUGCAGUUAUUUUGGGCAAAAGGGCUUACUGGAUGUGCUCAUCCCUGGCUGGUCAUAGAGUUCAAGGCUCACUGACACUCAUCACUGUAGAAUGGAUUUACCUGGGUUCGGCAAAAGAUGCCAAAUUCCAAGGAAAACAGAUGCUGUAUACAAAAGUGAAUACAGUCAAGGCAGAAGAUUGCAAGUCUAACAGUUCUCUGUGACUCUGGCAUUAGUGAACCCUAUGCUUGUGGCUGCAGAAUGCCUUUGGUGUUUCCCAAAUGCUGUUCUCUACAGAAGAGAGCAUGCAUUCUUGCAUGAAAAUACAAAUCUGGUGGAGCCGGUUACUCUUUACCCUGGACAGUGAUGGAAGUAAGUAAAUUUAAUCUCCUACAGCCAUUUUGUCCUGCUCUUCAUUGCUGAGCACUGUUGUACACAUUUGGGUGCUGUUGCCCAGCAGAAGCGUCUCUGGGAAGUGGGAGAUGUAGCCCUCAUGUCUGGGAGAUUCUACUGGAGAGACUAUCCUGUUUUCAGGCACCCUCAAGUGUAGGAGUUCUUUUAAAUGGGGUGAAUCCAGUUCCUUUGGAACUUCUGACACUAUGAAGACAAUAACCCUAUCGCAGGUCAUGCUUCUGCCACGGAAUGAUUAAUCUAAGCUUUUGCUCAGUAUGGUAUAUGAUUACACUAUUAAUUUUUGCAGUUUGGUCCAAUCAAGGAGGAAAAACGAUUAUUUACACAGUUUUUCUAGAACUUGAGACUUUUUUCUGAGAUUACGCCUUGAAAGAACAGAACAGAUUUAACCAAAUGAUCAAUUUUUAGUAAGGUGAGAGCAGAGAUCGAUUCCUCCGUAAACAAAUAGGAUAAGUAAACAAAUAGUGAAAGCUUUCUGCAUUGUUACUUGCAUUCUGGGUCUUCCACAGCAAACAUUUGGAUAUCUUUGGCCAUGUACUCUUUAGACUUGCUAGUCAUUAAAAAUAAAUCUAGGGAGGGUUUUAAGUUGAAGGCCUGUGGAGGGAGAAGGAGAACCCCAGCUAUCCUUGACAUUUGAUGAAUCACUCUAGAAAUGAGAUUUGCUUAUGGAACAGCUACACGUUUGAAGCAGCUUUAGCUGGGAACAGCUCCAGUCGUGAGUGGAAAAGACCAAGAGUAACCUCAGACUACAUCAUAAUGUUUUUCAAGGCAGAAAUAAUUUAUAAUGCAUGCAGCUGUGUAAGCUCAGCAGAAUCAAUUAUGGAACAUUUUAUUUUGUGGAUCACCUGAGAAUAACCUAUCUUCCCGAAGCCUGUGGAGAAGAGAUACAAGAAGUCUGGUAAACGCUUUCAAGCAAGGAUGUUUCCAACAGCAAAUAGUAAACCAGUGAUGUCAGCCAAAGACAGGAAAUCAACAUUUUGGCUUGUGCAUCCUCCAUGGCUGUGCCUCUUUCCUGUAUGUGGGAGCGUGCAUGUAUCUGGAACCUUAUAAAUAAUCACACCAAUGUGUUCUGUGUGCUGUAGAGGCUGUCUUAGAGCGACUGGCUUCUGGGAUGUGUAGGUUCUUAGCAUAAACACAUGUUUUUCAGAAAACUAAAGAACCUGUUUUUGGUGAUGUCCCACAAAAUGAGUCUGGAAAUCCAAGCUGUUCCAUAUGCUGCAGCAAGGUGGAGGAAAUAGCACCUUUUUUUUUAAAGUAACAUUUUUGUUGAGUUUACUGUCUGUUAUAUGGGCAAAUUAAUCUCCACAUUUUUGUCAGGUGUUUCAUACAAGACUUCUGUUGCAGCAGCUGAAGCAUUUAGAUUUUUGUCUUUAUUUUUUUGGCCUGGUUUCCACUUUAACAAAUUCACAGCUUGUAAGCUAUUGCUGGAAGAUUCAAAUGUGCAAACCAUUAAGCAAGCUCUAAGCAAGCCAUUCUUUCAGCUUGUGUCCUGUCUUUGCUACUAAUAGUGUGUAACAUCUGACAACAGUGAUGCCUGGAGCACCAGCUCCUGUUGAGACCCAUUGUAGUAGGUGCCAUGCAGGUGGGAGGGGGAAUUUCUGCCUUCUGGGGUCUUGAGUGGGAAUGAAGUGAGAUGGGCUGGGGGAAAUCACCAUGGAGGGGAAAGAGAAGAAAUGACUUGGUCACACAGCAGAUCAGAGACAGAACAGGGAGUAGAAUUAGGUCUCUGAUAGGAUAUUUAGUUGCAUCUAAACUCAUUUUUCAUAGUGCCUUGAGGCAGACUAGGUGACUACUUACAGUACUUUUUUGUCCCAUUUUAUUAUGAGCCUGUGGAUGGAAUUAGCUGGUAUCUGCUAAUUGGUGAGUGCAGACAAGGACAAGUCCCAGUCAGGCUCACCUCAGCUUUCCUCGGGUAAACUUAAUGCUGACCAUGACUCUUCCUUGUUUCCGCUGUCCACUCAGAUGUGGUGCCAAUCUUGAUCAACUUGGUAGUUUUGAAAACUGAGUUCCGUUAAUUUCAUCAUAGAGACAAGCCCUCUGGCCAUGCAAGUUUGCAGGAAGAAUCACAGAAAAUAGGCUUGGAUAACUACCUGCAUUUCUCUGGAGUCAUUGAAAUCAUAUCCAUUAAUUCAUAACCUGAAAAUACAAAUGUAAAGAUGAUAGACAUGGUAAAAGAAUUUGAGCUACUGUUUAUCAGAAUGCUAUGAUGAAACUGCUGUAAGUGGAAAUGCCGAGUUCUUGAUAUGAAACAGUCUCUUCUAAAAAUCCAACACAUUAAUAAUGAUAAACAGAUCUUCCACUGGAUAUUGAUUUAAGGGGAAAAAAGAUGGAUUAAUACAAGCAUUCAUCUUCACUGUCAAUUUAAUAUCAAGAUAAUUUUAUUUGAUAGUUCAAUGUAAUAAACUCCCCUUUUCCUUAAUACAUAUUUGGGAAAAGCAGGCAAUAUUGUAAUACAGUAAUUAGCCAUAUUUGCCUUUACUAUGUGUGAAUAAGAUUAAUAUACUAGAGUGUUCAACCUAAUUGAUCUAUUAUGUGAUAGGGACUUGCAACCAGACUGCAAAUUACAGUUUAACCCCCCAAAGGGCUAGACUUGUUUAGAAAAUGUGCGAGUCUUUAAGAGAUAAAAUUAAUAGAACUGACGUUGACCUAAAUAUUCAGUGUUAUUAAUUGUAUCAGUGGAUUGUGCUGCUUUUAUGUGCAACUAGGAAGGCAGUGUGUCUAGAAAAGAAGCAGGUUUAUGACAGCAGUGGGAAGGGUGGCUAACAGAAAACAUGACAAUUAUUGCAAACCAGGUUUCCUGGUUAAAAAAGUGAUUGUCACAGGCCCUUAAAAUUGCUAUUCCAUGUGGUUGUGAUUAAACAAAUCAUCCGUGCAGUGUGUUUGGAACAUAAUGGCUCUGUGGGAAAAAAAAUGUAAAUCAGGUUUUUGUAUUAAUGAAAACGGUUUAAUAUGGUUUUAAUGACCCAUUUUUCAGUCUUCACCAGAAAGUAAUUACCAGUUAGAUAGUUAGUGCUCUGGGCUUUGUUCUGGCUCUCAGAACUCCUUCAGCCAGUCACCCGGG